rnacentral:rRNA from 1 species
GAUGAACGCUAGCGACAGGCUUAACACAUGCAAGUCGAGGGGCAGCGGGGGAGGAAGCUUGCUUUCUCCUGCCGGCGACCGGCGCACGGGUGAGUAACACGUAUGCAACCUGGCCGUCACAGGUGGAUAACCGGAAGAAAUUCCGACUAAUACAGCAUAACACUCCUGAGGGACAUCCUUCGGGAGUCAAAGGAGGCGACUCCGGUGACGGAUGGGCAUGCGGCGCAUUAGGUAGUUGGUAGGGUAACGGCCUACCAAGCCGACGAUGCGUAGGGGUUCUGAGAGGAAGGUCCCCCACACUGGUACUGAGACACGGACCAG